rnacentral:rRNA from 1 species
GGCCGAUUAGUUAGUUGGCAGGGUAAAAGCCUACCAAGACAAAGAUCGGUAGCCGGCCUGAGAGGGCACACGGCCACACUGGCACUGAAACACGGGCCAGACUCCUACGGGAGGCAGCAGUGGGGAAUCUUGCACAAUGGGGGCAACCCUGACGCAGCGACGCCGCGUGAGCGAUGAAGCCCUUCGGGGUGUAAAGCUCUUUCGGCAGGGAAGAUUAUGACGGUACCUGCAGAAGCAGCUGCGGCUAACUACGUGCCAGCAGCCGCGGUAAUACGUAGGCAGCAAGCGUUGUUCGGAGUUACUGGGCGUAAA